rnacentral:scRNA from 1 species
GUCCUGACCUGCCCACUUGUCAGCAAGAGAAUUGGAAAUGGUUUGGGGGUGUCCUAUCUGAGUGAACAUUGGACACCACGGUUUUCAGUACAACA